GGGACACCCUUGUCCUCACACAGGCAAAGAUCAGAAAAACUACUUGGCGAUAUGAGUACAACAGUUUGCCUUCUUACUGUACUUCAUUUUUGAAUGUUUCAUAAAAGAAUCAAUGAAAGUUGCACCUGAAACACUGGUGCAGUACACCAGCUAUGAUCAGGGCGUUCCGGAGGUGAUCCUAUGUUCUCAGAAGCUCUACAUGCAAAUCCCUUCAACUUUGCUCAGGGGGAUGAGCUCACCGCAGAAAUUGUCCUGGUUUUUGACCUCAAAAUCCAGGCGCAUCAUUUUGAAAAACAAAGAUGAAGACCACAAAGGGGAACAGACUCAAUUUACUGAAAAGCACCAGAUAUUUGCACAGAAGCACCUCAACAGAAAAGACAAUUCUCGUGUAGGUAUGAUCUCGGAGAAGAAAGUGGAUGGUGACUCAUGUAGCAGAAAUGAAAGCAUGGAAAAGCACAGUAAGUGCAAGCAAGCACGCCAAUGUGUCAUGACUAAAAGGCUUGGAGCAGGGAGCCACAGAGAAAACUUGGACAGACUUAGAGGAAGAAAGCAUGGAAGACAGUCAACACAUACAAAAAAAUUAAAAUAUAAUCCAUGUGUAAUGAAUCAUCAAA
rnacentral:lncRNA from 1 species